UGCAAGUCGAACGAGCUGGAGACUUCGGAUGGAUCAGCUUAGUGGCGGACGGGUGAGUAACGCGUGGGUACCUGCCUCACACUGGGGGAUAACAGUUAGAAAUAGCUGCUAAUACCGCAUAAGUCCGCAUGGAAAAAACUCCGGUGGUGUGAGAUGGACCCGCGUCUGAUUAGCCAGUUGGCGGGGUAACGGCCCACCAAAGCGACGAUCAGUAGCCGGCCUGAGAGGGUGAACGGCCACAUUGGGACUGAGACACGGCCCAGACUCCUACGGGAGGCAGCAGUGGGGGAUAUUGCACAAUGGGGGAAACCCUGAUGCAGCGACGCCGCGUGGAGGAAGAAGGUUUUCGGAUUGUAAACUCCUGUCGUUAGGGACGAUAAUGACGGUACCUAACAAGAAAGCACCGGCUAACUACGUGCCAGCAGCCGCGGUAAAACGUAGGGUGCAAGCGUUGUCCGGAAUUACUGGGUGUAAAGGGAGCGCAGGCGGGAAGACAAGUUGGAAGUGAAAACCAUGGGCUCAACCCAUGAAUGCUUUCAAAACUGUUUUUCUUGAGUAGUGCAGAGGUAGAUGGAAUUCCCGGUGUAGCAGUGGAAUGCGUAGAUAUCGGGAGGAACACCAGUGGCGAAGGCGGUCUACUGGGCACCAACUGACGCUGAGGCUCGAAAGCAUGGGUAGCAAACA
rnacentral:rRNA from 1 species